rnacentral:rRNA from 1 species
AGAGAUGGAUUGGUGCCUUCGGGAACUCUGAGACAGGUGCUGCAUGGCUGUCGUCAGCUCGUGUUGUGAAAUGUUGGGUUAAGUCCCGCAACGAGCGCAACCCUUAUCCUUUGUUGCCAGCGGUUAGGCCGGGAACUCAAAGGAGACUGCCAGUGAUAAACUGGAGGAAGGUGGGAUGACGUCAAGUCAUCAUGGCCCUUACGAGUAGGGCUACACACGUGCUACAAUGGCGCAUACAAAGAGAAGCGACCUCGCGAGAGCAAGCGGACCUCAUAAAGUGCGUCGUAGUCCGGAUUGGAGUCUGCAACUCGACUCCAUGAAGUCGGAAUCGCUAGUAAUCGUGGAUCAGAAUGCCACGGUGAAUACGUUCCCGGGCCUUGUACACACCGCCCGUCACACCAUGGGAGUGGGUUGCAAAAGAAGUAGGUAGCUUAACCUUCGGGAGGGCGCUUACCACUUUGUGAUUCAUGACUGGGGUGAAGUCGUAACAAGGUAAGCGUAGUGCU